AGCGAAUAGAUACCCAGGUAGUCCACGCCGUAAACUAUGCCGACUAGGUCUUGGGGAGUAUCGACCCUCCCUUGGAUCGAAAGCUAAACGCGUUAAGUCGGCCGCCUGGGGAGUACGAGCGCAAGCUUAAAACUCAAAGGAAUUGACGGGGACCUGCACAAGCGGUGGAGCGUGUGGUUUAAAUUCGUCAGUAAGCGUAGAACCUUACCGAGGCUUGACAUCUCCGGAAAGCCCUGGAAACAGGGCCGUGCCGCAAGGAACCGGAUGACAGGUGUUGCACGGUUGUCGUCAGCUCGUGCCGUGAGGUGUCCCGUUCAGUCGGUUAACGAGCGCAACCCCUAUCCUGUGUUGUACUUUUCACAGGAAACUGCCCUAGUCAAUAGGGAGGAAGGUGGGGACGACGUCAAAUCAGCGUGGCCCUUACGCCUCGGGCGACACACGCGCUACAAUGGGUAGUAACAAUGGGUUGCCAAGCCGUAAGGCGGAGCUAAUCCCACCAAACCUACCCCCACGUUCGGAUUGAGGGCUGCAACUCGCCCCACUGAAGUCGGAAUCGCUAGUAACGGCCGGUCAGCCA
rnacentral:rRNA from 1 species